CUCGUGAGACUUACUCACUAUCACGAGAACAGUAUGCAGAAAACCGCCCUCAUGAUUCAAUUAUCUCCACCUGGCCCCACAUUGACACAUGGGGAUUAUUGCAAUUAAGGUGAGAUUUGGGUGGCGACACAGCUAAACCUUUUCAUACCAUAUACAAAAAUUAACCCCAAAUGGAUCAAAUGCCUAAUUGUGAAAACUAAAUUUAUUCAACUCUUAUUUUCUUUAUUAAAGAAAAAAGUAUAAAUCUUUUUGACCUUGAAUUAGACAGCUGUUUUUUAACUUCUAUAUCAAAAGUUCAGGCAACAACAACAAAAUAGAUAAUUGGACUUAAUUAAAAUUGAGACUUUUGUGUUUCAUAGAAUAUCAUCAAGACAAUGAAAAGGCAACCCACUGAACAGAAAAUAUUUGCAAAUUAUGUAUAUGAAAAGGGCCAAACAUCCAGAUAGUAAAGAAUUCCUGCAACUCAACAAUAAAAAUAUAAAAAUCCCAAUUUAUAAAAAUAGGCAAAUGGGCAAAGUAUUUGAAGAGAUAUUUCUAAAAUGAAGAUAUGUAAAUGGCCAGUAAACAUGAAAGAAAUGUUCAACAUCAUUGGUCAUUGGGGAAAUACAAAUCAAAACCAUAAUGAGACACCCCUUCAAACCCACUAGAAUGAUUAUAAUAUUUUUAAAAGAAAACAAUUUUUUUGGUGAAUAUAUAGAGAAAUUGGAACUCAUAUAUCACUGGUAAAAAAUGUAAAAUAGUACAGCUGCUAUGGAAAACACUUUGGUGAUUUCUCAAAAAUUUAAAUAAGAAGUUACCAGAUGAUUCAGCAAUGUCACUCCUAAGUAUAUCCAAGAGAAUGGAAAAACAUGUCAAAGCAAAAAUUUGUACAUGAAUAUUUGUAGCAGCAUUGUUUAUAUAGCCUCACUAGAAAGAACUGAAAUGUCCAUCAAUGGAUGAAUGGAUGAACAAAAUAUGCUAUUUCCAUACAGUGGGAUUAUUCACAGUCAUAAAAAGAAUGAAGUACUGACACAUGCUGCAACAUGAAUAGAUCUUGAAAGUAGUAUGCUAAAUGAAAGAAGCAGAUCACGAUGAAUGAAGAGCUACUGAGAAAAGAAGGCUUUGGUAUCAUCUCAUUGGCAGACUAGAGAGCUCCCAGUCAGGAAAGAGAAAGUCUGGAGUUCCAUAAAAAGAACAGAGUCAUUUCGAUCUCGUCAAGAUCAGUACUCAUCAAGCCAUGAGGAGACUCAACGCUACUCAUCAAGCUAUGAGGAGACUCAACGCAUGUCCGUUGAAUGACUGACUGUUACCUGUUUUCUUCUUCUGAAAACAACUAUAUUUGUAGGUUGUAGGGUUAAUCAAGGCACUAAUAUCACAUGGCCAAUGUGAAGGAUAUAGGACUAGGAGUCAAAAGUCCUAUUGCUAGUUCUAAAUUAGUAGUAAUUACAGUAAUAAUAAUAAACAUUUAUUAAGGGCUUAACAUUAUGCAUUAUCAUGCAUUAACUCAUUUUUUGCCAAUAAUGUUGUAAAGUAGGUAUUCAUACUAUCAACUAAAUUUUUGUAAAGCAGAAAUUGAGGUGUGGAGAAGUUAACCAUUUUGCUGUAAAUCACAGAGCUAGUAAGUGGUGAAGCCAAGCAUUUAACCCAGAGCUUUUUUUCUAAAUAUUAUGUUUUGCAAGUAAAAUAGUUGUGUUUUGUUAAACCAAUCACUUUGUACCUUAGUGGCUACCUUUGUGAGAUUAGCAUAAUGUUACCUACCUCAGAAGAGUAGUACAGACGGGGGCUUCAAACUGAAUAUUUAUGAGUACAUUUUCCAAUAUACAUAUGUAUGAGAUAGUUUACUGUUUCCAGGACACUUACACUAUCAUCAGAUGUCAGGACUUGGGGGCCAAGGUAGAAAUGAUUGAGAUCUCCCUUUUGCUAUAGUUCAAAUUCACAUUGUUCUGGGGACAAAUGAUAUUCUUCAAUAAUACCGAGUAAUCUUUGUGGCAUAAACUCUUGGAGCAGUAACAUAUAUAAAAUGUUUGUUUGUAAAAGAACAAAAACCUCUCAUAUGUUAAGUUAUUAUUUUUAGUUUCCAUCUAGGCCAAUAAUUUUCCAUGUCCUUAGGAAGAUUUCCUUAAUGUACUCACACAUACACACACACCUGCACAUGUAUACACAUGCACAGAUUCUCAGACGCACUCACCCAGAGGCAUAUAUAUAUACACAUGUCCCUGUUACAGAGUUACAAUGUGCUUGAUUGCUUGUUGGUGGCAGCUGGUGAUGGAACAUGGCAUUUCUAAAGACAAGCACAAGGUUCCUAGGUGGUUAGGAAAAUUCCAUAGUUUUAUCUCCUGAGGUCUUUGAGUUAAGGAGAAGAAUUUUUAUUUUGUUUGCUUUUAGCAAAAGAUAAAGAGAAUGAUAAUAACACAAUUUCAGGGAUUGACAUGCAUUAAUCCUUAAGUCUGAUAUAUUUGGGAAUGAUAAAAAUGGUGGUAUAUAAGGACACUACUGAUGUUCUUGUCACAUUUGUAUUGGGGAACCUUUACUCUUAUUUCACUAUGAAUUAUUGAGAUGUUGUAACACCAAUUUGAAAAUAUGUGUGUGUGUGUUUGUGUGUGUGUGUGUGUGUGUGUUUACGCAUGCAUGUGUGUUCUAAUCCUCUCUGACUUCUUCAAAUUGUGGACAAGUAGUCCAUCACAGAAACUGUCGCAUAAUUUACAGAAAAUAUUAAAUUAGCUCUGUAUCAAACAUUAAGCAUGCAAGCAGGGCAAACUGAGCCCAAAAAAAUCCUUUGUGGUGACAUGGAUUUUAAAAUUGUGCUUACCUGGGCUGGGUGGGGUGGCUCACACCUGUAAUUCCAGCACUUUGUGAGGCCAAUGCAGGUGGAUCACUUGGGGCUAGGAGUUCGAGACCAUCCUGGCCAAUGUGGUGAAAUACUGUCUCUACUAAAAAUACACACACACACACACACACACACACACACACACACAAAAGGCGAGGCAUGGUGGCAUGCAUCUGUAAUCCCAGCUAUUUGGGAGGCUGAGACAGGAGAAUUACUUGGGCCCAGGAGGCAGAGGUUACAGUGAGUGCAGAUCGUCCUACUGCAGUCCAUGCUGGGCAACAGAGUGAGAUUCUGCCUCAAAAAACAAACAAACAACAACAAAAUAAAACAAAACAAAGCAAACUCACCUAAUGUAUAGUUAUAAUGCCCUAUUUUUUUCUUUCUGAAACUAGCAAGCAAAAAUAGGAUUUCUUUCUCCAUUUGGGCAACAGCCUUCCAGAGGUCCAUGGCUUUCAUCAUGUAUGCUGAUUGUUCUUCUUUCUCGGUGCCUACCCGCUUUUCCUGGGAUCAGUGAUUUUCUUCUUCUCUAGGACUAGCUCUCAUAUAGCAUGGGAGGGUUUACUAACUGGUGUCUAAGGAAAAAAUGGCAAUGUAUACUAAAAUAAGUCAAUAUAAAUUAGUUGUGUAUGUAUGUAAAUGAGUUGAACAUAAUCAUCACUGUUGAAUAAUGACAUAAUUCCCUUUCCUUGAUUGACAAUUUGUUCAGUACCUAAGACCACACAGUGCCAAAAUCAGCAUCUAUGAGUGUGUGUGUGUACACACGUGUAGCAGUUGUGUGUUGUGAGUAGGGUGGGCAUUAAUGACUCGCAUUUUAAGUGGGUGCCCUUUCAUUCUGAUUGCCUUUCAAGGCUUUUUCUUCUGUUUUUCAGAGAUUCAUUUUAAUACACAUUGCCAUCUUAACCUUUGAUGCCAGUUAGUAAAUCCCCCCAGGACUUACCUUUAACGUUAAUUUUCUCAGCUUCUAUCAAUAGUAUCCUCACAUAAAGGCUUGUUAAAGAUUCAAAUGGUGUAUCUUGGAGUUUGCAGGACCAUGGAGUAGCACAGAGAGGCUGUAAGCUCCAGGGCUGAUAAUCAGGAGCUGGUGCCCUACUCUGCAUAUCCCUGUGAGUAUUUGCAAGUCCCACACCCAUUCCAGUCCUCAGUAAAAUCAGGAUAUGGGAAAACAGGUCCUGAUGAUUACUUCUAGUUUUAAGCACCUGUGACUCUAAACUUUAAAGCAGUAUAUUCAGAAUGUGAGAUAUUUCAUUCUCCUUAAACUUUGCUGUUAUCUAUAGAUAAGGCAGGUUGAAAUCCAUAAGAAGGAGGUGUGUCCACACACCAGCAAAUACAGAGUCUGAUGAGAGAGGCUAAUUAAGCAUAUUGAUAGAAAAAGGCACCUUGAGUGUGGUCAGGUUUUUUUUUUUUUAAAUAUACGUAAUUUAGCCACUUUAUGGUCUUUUUUGGUCAUUGAUUAGUUACUGUGUUUCUUAUACUACCUAAUACAAGAAAGAAGUUUCUUGGUAGGCUCAAGACAUUUGGAAAAAUAAGCUAAAUAAAUAAAUAAAUAUUUAAAUUAAAUUAAAAUUGAAAUUUAAAUAAGUUAAAUAAGAAAAAAAAUGGGAAAAAUAAAUUAGAGCCCCCCUCCAAAUAUUUGUUAAGCAUCAAUUAAUUGAAUUUCUAAACUGUGAGAAAUUAGAUGUUUAAUCAGUAAGUAAAUAAUAUAAAUACAGAGUCCCUUUAAUCCUGGAACUAACAAUUGCUUUGUGAAAGGAAUCUGUGAACACUUGAAUGAGAGUGCCUGAGGAUGUAGUGAUGCAAGAGGGUAAUGACAGUUGCCUACAACAGUGGAAGGAAGGGGCAAAGAAAGAUGCUAAGCAAGUGACAUACAAAUUAAACACACCUUCUUCAGAGAAGGGAGAUGUGGCCUGGAGUGGGCAGAAUCUUAUCUAGAGCUGACUGAUUUGAGGAUAAUUUUUUUUUUUAAUGUGGGAAGAGCAGAGAGAUGGAAUUUGAAGGGUGAAUGGCAUGAACAAUGGUAUAGAAAAGCAUUUGCAGGAUUGAACAGUUUAAGAACACAAGUAACGGAUGAUAAUGUUGUAAAGAUACGGUGAAUGGGACACCUAGAGAGAUGUGAAUGAUGUGCUUAUCCUUGGACCCUGCAACACUGUUCAAGUUUUGGGGUGCGGAAGAAUGACACUGUGAUUCAGAAAAUCAUGACACUGGAGACCGAUGUCGCAGAAUAGUCUAGAUGAGGUAAUGAUUAAGUAAGCUGCCAUCAUAUCCAUGGACAUGAAAAAAGAAAAGAGUUAUGUGAGCAUAUUUUGAAAUCAGAUAUUCAUAUAGUAUGUCCUUUCAAGCUGUCAGAAUAUAUCACACUUUUGCCAUAAGUUUCCAAAUGCAUCUUGCUUCUUUGAUCUCUCCUCCCUUUUAAAAAGAUCUGAUUGAAUGAGUGUAAGGUAAAUACAGAAAAAAAAAUAAGUGCAGAUAUCACAAGCUGAAAUUAAGAGCAAGAGAAUUUCACUUCUCUUGCUUAAGCAAGAGAACUCAUGAGGAACCUAGGUCAGCUCAAGUGUAGAUUAGAACGAAUGUGUGGGAACCUCUGUGUCCAAUAACAGGAACAAAAGCAAUUCAAUAAAGUGGUGAACAGCUAUCUUUUCUUUAUUUCUAACUCUUCUGUUCUGCUUCCUUUGUACAUAUGUGUUAUCUUUCUUAAAGUAAAAUUACUCUGCCCUUGCCUCAGAAAGCUCUAGAAAAUUAGCUACCUUCUGCUAAAUUGCUAGAUGAGAGGGCCGUAUUUCAAGAGGCCAGGCACACUGUGUUCCGAUUUAAGCUAUCCUCAGAAGAUCAGGAUUUCACAUUAUAAAAGGAUCCUGGAACUAACUGCCCUCUGAGUCAGCUCUAACUAAACUGGUUUGAAUUCCAAAGUAAAGAGAAUCUAUAAAUCUCAAUCCCAAUUUCAAAGCCAUCAAGAAAGAUGAGUACAGCCUCAAUGGUGCAUGGAGAUCCUCAGAAAUAGCGUGACAACAAA